rnacentral:rRNA from 1 species
GGUAACUGGAAUUUCUAGUGUAGGAGUGAAAUCCGUAGAUAUUAGAAGGAACACCGAUAGCGUAGGCAGGUUACUGGGACAGUUCUGACACUAAGGCACGAAAGCGUAGGGAGCAAACGGGAUUAGAUACCCCGGUAGUCUACGCCGUAAACGAUGGAUACUAGCAGUUUUGGGUAUCGACCCCCGGAGUUGCGAAGCUAACGCGUUAAGUAUCCCACCUGUGUAGUACGAUCGCAAGAUUAAAACAUAAAGGAAUUGACGGGGACCCGCACAAGCGGUGGAGCGUGAUCUUUAAUUCGAUGGUAAACGAUAAACCUUACCAAGGCUUGACAUCCGAUGUAGGCUCUCGAAAGAGAACUGUGCCUUCGGGAACAUCGAGACAGGUGAUGCAUGGCCGUCGUCAGCUCGUGUCGUGAGAUGUUUGGUUAAGUCCAUCAACGAGCGCAACCCUUGCAACCAGUUGUAUUUUUCUGGUAAGACUGCCCCGGUAACGGGGAGGAAGGAGGGGAUGAUGUCAGGUCAGUAUUUCCCUUACGCCUUGGGCUAGAAUCGCGCUACAAUGGCUGGUACAAUGCGAAGCGAAGCAGUGAUGUGAAGCAAAUCGCACCAAAGCCAGUCCCAGUUCGGAUAGAAGGCUGAAACUCGCCUUCUUGAAGUCGGAAUCGCUAGUAAUCGCAGAUCAGCAUGUUGCGGUGAAUACGUUCCCGGGUCUUGUACACACCGCCCGUCAAACCAUGAGAGUCACCAACACCCGAAGUCCGCCUCGGCGGCCUAAGGUGGGGGAGAUGAUUGGGGUUAAGUCGUAACAAGGCAUCGGUACGAGAACGUGUCGAUG